CUGCCUUUCUACUUCCCGCGGAUUCGGCGAAAGAUCCCACGAGCCUUAAAGCGAAGGUACACCCGGAAAUCCGCCACUGCUUUUUGCAGGUGGCGAAACCACUGAGCUAAAUCCCCAGCCAUCAUUGCUGUUUUCUGAUCUACCUUUUGUGCUCUACUGCUCUGUCCUAAGAAGACCUUUGCCCAGGUCCCCAAGCCUCUGAAAACCAGAAUGAUGAAAUUGGAGCAGCCAUUUGCUGGUAAACUCAAUGUGAAUUGGAUGCAAGAGAUAGCCACGAAGGGUGAGAGGAGACAGCACGUAUUGGUCACAGCAUGAGUUUUGGGGUCAGCCAGCAGACACCUCCAUCCUGAAUUUUUGGUCACACCGAUUUCUUCAGUGUUUCCAAACAUCUUGGACAUUUCUACCUCUGGGCCUUCACUUACCAGAAUUCCUGACGCGAGAGUGUGAGAUCAAGAAGAAUAUUUUCUUCUCCAGAGCCCUGGAAGUGUUGACAUUGACAAGGAAAGCUAUGGAGCUGAUGAUGCUUCCCUUUUGGCCUUGCUUGCCAGGAAACUUGUACUUUUUGUCUUAUUGCUUGCUUCCCUUUUCCAUGGUUUGGGUUUUCUGCCUUUAACGGCCUUUUAAUUUAUGUGAGCUGUUCCACUCAUGGGAGGAGUGGGAUACGGAAAGGUUGAACUGAAUAGGAAAGGAAAGAUCGAAAACUGCAAGGAAAUACCUUACAUAAAACUCCGAACUUAAGGAAAGGGCUGUCCCUGUCUCCUAUCUGUUCCUUCCACAGAGCUCUGGCUCUGGCUCUGGCUUAGGAAUUUUGCAUGGGCAGCUCAGUGGUGAUUUCCUCUCUCACAUCUGGGUCAGUGGCACUUUUGCACUUAGAAUGUAACCCGAAGGCCUGCCCAGCUUUCCCACCUCAGCUUGUCCCUUGUCCCUUUGCUCACCAGGGUAACCACUUGGGUCAUCUUUUAGAUCUACUCCUAAGCCAAUGUCUCUCCUGCCUCAGGAAAAGAGGCUUUUUGAACGCUGUUCCUUUUGCCUGGGACUCCCUGAUCCCACCUCCUGUUUUUGCCUGGAUUCUUUUCCUUACCUUUAGAUUUCAGCUGAAAGCCCAUAGCUCAAAGUACCUCGUGUUCCCCGUCUGCUUUAUCUUUGGGGCAGUGGUGAGUGGUUUUUGGAGAUGGCUCCCACUAUGUCCCCACCCCUUCCAUCCACGUUGCUGCUCCCAUCCAUCCAAAGGUAGCCUCUGGUCCCCCUGGAAGUGGUCUGGGCCUUAGGACUGGCUCCGACCAAAGCGAUGUGCCGAGGCUCCCAAGGGUGGACCUUCAGCUGCUUGGCAGUUUCUCGGGUCCCACGAGGUACACGGGGAAAGGCCCCUGUCACGUGGAGGGACCCAGGUGGAGGAAAGGAAGUGCCCAGGUCAGCAGUCCCAGCAUUGCCUCCCACCCGUGCCUGGGCAGCCAGGUUGUUCUAGCCCUGCUGAGCCCCGGAUGCCACAGCCCCAGCCACUAUCACAUGGGGCAGAAGAGCCCCAGCAUUGUGGGAGAUACCUCAAUGGUGGUUGUUUUAAUCUGUUAGGUUUCACAUAACCCAAAGGGAGGUCCACCUUGCUACUUUUGAAAUCAUCACCUACAGUUAUGUAAUGAUUUGGUUCUUCCCUUGCUAAUUUCCCAUUUUCCCUCUAGGACAUGAGCUGCAGGGACAAGGACUGUGUUUGUCCUGCUCACCACUACUGCCAACAUUGAGCACAGCAAAUGACUUGUCGCAAGAGCUGAAUGAAUGAAUGAGUCGCAUCAGUGGGAUCCUGCAGUGUCUCCUAGAGCCACUGUGAGCCUCUGUGGCUGGAAUCCAGGCUGGGACAGAGCCAGGGGACAAGGUGGGCAUGGCCCAAGCCUCAGCCCUCUGGGGCUUUCACAGUCAGAACUGUGCAGGGAGCCUGGGGACCUCUGUUCCUGCCAGGCCUCCCAGCUCUGCCAGGGAGAAUCGCCCCCUCCCCCUUUCUUUGGUGCUGGGGAUCAAACAAGGACCUUGUGAAUGGCCAGCAAGUUCUCUACCCACCCAGCCACCUUCCCUUUCCUUCCCCCUCCCUCUACCUCAGUGGGGCACCUGGGAAGUCUGUUUGUGUGUGCAUGUGUACCGAUGAUGGGGACAGGACAGAGUCAUGGGGCCAGCUCUGUCCCAUUCUGAGCACGGUUUGGACAUAUGGCCACGGUGGUCGCUGAGUGCCCAGUCAGAAAGGAAGUGCUGCCCACCUGUGAGCCUGUGUUCCGGUAACCAUGUCCCAUGUCCCUGAUUCAUCUGUAUCAUCCGGUGUUAUUGGAAGUUGUUCCUCCUCCCCUCUUACAGACGAGGUUAGCUGAUGCUUAGAUUACUUGUCCCAAAUCCUACUGCCUCUAAGUGGUAGAGGCAGGAUUUGAACCGUGGCAGUGUGGCUCCAGAAGCCACCAUCUUAACCAUUCUGCUUCUCUGAGCCUCACUCUGCAUCUCUGGAAAGGAGCUAAUAAUACCUGCUUAACACAGCUGUGAUAAUAUACAAUCCACUUGCCAGGCAUAGGGAAGGUUCCCAAUAAAUCUCAGUGUUUAGUGGCAAGAUAGAUAAACGGGCCUCACUAGGGAGGGUUUUCAAGGCUGUACUGUGAGGGCCCGGGAGCCAUUGAAAGUUUUUGAGCAAGAGAGUGACAUGAAGAGAUUGUGGCUGAGUUCAGAUCCUGCCCUUUCCCUUUGCUGCUCCCCCUACCUGAUGCUGGUGGCUGAGCUCCACUCACCCCUGCCUUAUCUCCCUGUGGGCUUUUGAGGUCUGAGCUAUUUGAGAAGUGUGACAGGUCAUCCUUGACCUCCUGAAUGAAGGGGACAGGAAGGGAUGCUGCUCCCCUUCCCGGUGGCCUCUAGGUCUCUCCAGUCUCAUCUCAAGGGGCAGCCUCAGAGCCCUAUUUGUGCCCUGUUUCCAUCUCCACUUUGAACACUAGCAAUUGUGAGAGGCACCUGGCUUCCUCUCACCAUCGACUCCUUAUCCCAUUCUGGCUAUCUGACCCUGUGCUCUGUUCCUUAGUCCUGUUGGGUGUUUAUGGUCGGCGCGCACGCGCACUCUCAUGCACACCCUCGGCCCGUGGCAUGUGUGCUGUGCACAUGAGCAUCCGUGAUGUACUGUUACCUGUGCUUGUCUAUGUGCAUCGAUGGCUUCUGGCUGCACACGGAUGAGGGGUGCAGAGGACCCGUGUGGUGGCCUCCACCUCCCUCGCCACUGUCCCCUCUCUGUGCUUCCUUCUGUCCUCAUCAGCGUCUCUGCUCACCCAUGCCUUGGUCCCUUGAAGCACAGCCCAGGUCCUUGCUGUCCUGAGCCCUGGGUGAUGGGGGUGUGGCCUGUAAAUGUUGACCCGAGCGACUGAAUGGACGUGGCUGUGUGAGCGGCGCUAAUUCCAGAAGUGUGUGUGUGUGUAUACACACAUGUGCGCAACAGGGCUAUGUGCAUGGACAUGCAAAUGUACACACGUGCUGUAGGUAUAGAUGUGUCCCUGGGGGCCGUGGUGAGCCUCUUUGUCCCUGUGGAUUUAGGCACCAGAAUGCUGGCAAAUGUUUACCAAUGGCUCUUCAUUAGAGAAACACCCCCCAUUUGCAGCUCUUGCCAGUUUCUGUGGUGUGAACACUCCCAGUGUGGCCACUGCCAGAUGCCCACGUGAUGCCCCUCAACUUGGAGUUGGGAAGACCCUGAGGGGUCUCACCUGGGAUUGUGUCUGUAUGGGACAGUGAGCAUGGGGAGAGUGGGCAGGACCAAGUUCCCAACAGAGGAAUCUGCACAGGGGCGGCCCCAGCUGCUGUUUUGCAGAGCCCUGCCUGCUUGUGCUACGGGAGCAGGCGAUGGCUGGCCGCCAGCCAGCUUUCUCCGAGGUGGCUUGCAAGCUGAUGCUCCUCGUUAAGCAGGUCUAGCAGCUCCCUGGGACAGCCAUAGCCACCAGCCCUCAGCCUUCCCCUGCCCUGAGAGUGUGCAGGGGAGAUGGUGGCAGGACUUGGGGGAGGGGGCGAAAGCAGAAAGGCUUCCAAUUUCAUCAGAAGCAGCUGGGCUGGGAGGCGGGAUCAAGAGGCUGGGAGCCCCCAGUUGGCCUGAAGCCAAUGGGCUGUGCAGGUCUGGACAAACCACUUGCCCUCUCUGGUGUCCAAUUGUGACUUUCCAUGAAGAGCUUCACUGUCCCUUAUUUGACUCUCUGGGAGCCAGCAGCCUGAGCUCUGAGUGUUGACAUCUAUGUUCAAAAGCUAGAUAGCCCGGGCUGCAAUUAGACAGUGACAGGGGCCCCGCGGUGGCCAUGAUAGGGGUACAUCACAGGCCCAGGGACAGUUUCACCCCGAGCCCCAUACCCAGACCUGGACCUUUCUUUGGUGCCUGCUGUCUAGGCUUCUGCCCAAGGUUCCCCCAGCCACCACCUUUUGCUCCUGAGGGUGACUGGCCCGAGGGUGGAGCAGGGAUGGCUGUUCUGGGAGCUCAUAUGUGCCAGCUGGCGCCUGCACCACCUCUGUGGAGAUGCCCACAUGUGCCAAACAGAGCUGGGCAUGGCUGGCGGGGGCCGAGAAGCUAGGGUUGAGGUGCCAAGAUGGGCUUGUCCGCUGUGGUCACCAUCGGGGCAGAAUUCAAAGGAGGUCGAGCUUUCUAAAUCUAAGCCUAGCAUUUUCAGCUGGAACAAAGACAGAUAGGACAAAGGACGGAACUAGUUUGGUUUGUUCGGAGCUGUAUAUUUAGACUUAAAAUCUAAGAGGCUCCCCCAGUUUUUUGGCCCUGGUCCUGAAGAUAUUGGGGGAGCCUGGAGAGAUAAUCCAGAUCUGUGGGGUGCUUGGCACUGUGGCCCCCAGUGAUGGGCUGAAUGGAGCAGAGGGUUCCGAACAGCGCUCAGUGCUUGGGCGGCCUUUUCCAGGCCUCCUUCCUCUUAGUAUGUGUGUGGCACAGGUCUCCUGCUGGGCUGGCUCCUUCCUGGAGUCCCUAGGGAAGUUGUCUUGUGGCUUAGCUCCCUCCCUCCAAUCUCCAGCAGUGUCUUUCUCCCCAAAGAUCCCCCCAGUCCAAGAGCUCACGAGGGCCUCCCUGGACCUCAAGGGGACAAGGCCAUGGCCCUGCCACUUUCCUGCAGCCCCAGCUGGGUGACCGUUGGUGCCCUGGAUGCCUCCAAUAGGUCGCUCUCUUGGCUUGUCAAACAGUACUAAAACAACCAGACCGGUGAAGCCCAGCCUGUAAUUAGUGAGUCCUCCAUGCCUUUUUGGUAGGUGAAGGUAGAGGUCAGGAGGGCCAGGUACAGCUUCUUUCUCUUUUCAGAGCACCAGGCCCUCAGGGCCUCACUGUACACAAGCUUUCUCAGCUUUUUUUUCUCCUUUUUGUUUGUAGUGGCAUCUGCUGGGAGUUUCUACCUGACCUUCUGGGUCAAGGACAAUACACCCAGAGGUGGCAGGAGGGUGUCACAGGGAUGCAUUAGGGGGCAGAGGAAGAUGCAUUUUAUGAUUUUGUUUGUUCCUUGUCUCUAUUUGAUUUCAAAAUACCUGCUUUCCUCCAUCUUUUUUGGCAUGACAGAUUUUUCGGGUUUUUUGAGACAGGGUCUCACUAUGUAGUUCAGGCUGGCCUUCAACUGACUGUGUAGCCCAAGCUGACUGUGAACUUGCAGUGAUCCUCCUGCCUCAGUCUCCUGAGCAUUGGGAUUACAGUCAUGCACUACCACAUGCCAUGACAAAUUUUUAAAGUUAAAGUAAACUAAGUUAAAUGCAUUCAAUGUAUUUGCUGACCUGGCAGUUUGACUGAACAUGGCUAGACAUUGGUGGCUUAGUUCUUUAUUUUUCAAUUUGAACCCCAAACCCAAGGCCUUCGCACUGAGCUACAUCCCUAACUCAUUUUUGUAUUUUUUAUUUUGAGACAGGGUUUUGUUAAAUUGCCCAAGCUGGGCUCGAACUUGUGACCCUCCUGCCUGAGCCUCCCAGUUGUGGUUUAGUUCUUUAACUGCCUUCGUGGGUCCUUUCUCCAGCGUCAAGGGCCAUGUCCUCCAGUUCGCUUUCCAUCUUUGUCUUUCCCAUCUGUUCAGGUUGAGACAGGCCCAGGGUCCCCUUCGAGACCCUUCCCCUUCUUCUGCCACUCCGUGGCCCUCUCCGGGCAAUACCUCUCUGCAGAGAGCCCCAGCGUCUUACCUUCCAGGCUGCACACUUUCCUUGGGAAAAUGGAAACCCUAGUUUGUGGUUGGGAUGUUGAGUGGGACUGGUUUAGUCUAAAAGAGAAACUUCAAGGACAUCAUGCGAAGAUCUGAGGGGCCAUCAUACUGGAAAGGGGAGGGAUUUGCACAGAGUGAAGGAAAGGGUGGGUUUGAGUAGACUUUGCCAUUUGCUGCUGCCUAGCAUUGGCCAGUGCUUCCUUGGAAUGGGCUGAGUUCCCUGUCCCUGUUGGCAUGCAAGUGCCAGUAAAAGCUAUUUAAGAGGGAGCCUGUAACCUGAGGAGUGGGGCCACCCUACUGCAUGGCAUCUAAGCCUCCUGUCUCCCAACUCUGAAAAUAUGUGGCCUUAGGAUUGCUUUAAAUGAGAUGCAAGGAGUUGGAAAAGCAAUUAAAGAAAUUCACCAACGUGA